AACUUUCAACAACGGAUCUCUUGGUUCUGGCAUCGAUGAAGAACGCAGCGAAAUGCGAUAAGUAAUGUGAAUUGCAGAAUUCAGUGAAUCAUCAAAUCUUUGAACGCACAUUGCGCCCGGCAGUAAUCUGCCGGGCAUGCCUGUCCGAGCGUCAUUU
rnacentral:rRNA from 1 species